CUCCUAAAACUGAGCCCAUCCUUUUUGUCUUCUCCAGGACAAAGAGUCAUUCCUCAGCCACCAGUUGCGCUCCUGCAUUAGACCUCCCGGCCUUCCUGAGAUCCCACCACGGAGCUGAGCUUGUAUCUCUCCUCCCGCUGCCUGCCUUUCCUUGUUGGGAUGGUGAAGCUUUGGAGAAAGAACAGCCCAGAUACAGGGAUCUCCUGCUCAUUCUCCCCCCCCCUUGGGUAGGGGGAGUGCAAGAGGAAGAAGAAGGAAACCAGGCCCAUUUCUUGAUCUUGUUGAGCCAUGUCUGUGUCCACUGAAGCUCCGCACAUGUCCUGCAUGUGAUGGCCAUGGGAUCCCCAUGCAUUUCCCUGGUGGGGCUUGACCCGUCCGCUAAGAUCAGGUGAAAGCAUCUUUUAAUUUUAAAAUGCAGGCUCCUUUUGGACAAAGGCUUGGUCACUACUAGCAAUCCAUGGUCUGUCUUUAAAUAAUAAAUAAUAAUGGUCAAUUAUUGACCUCAACAGA